UACGAAGGGGGCUAGCGUUGCUCGGAUUGACUGGGCGUAAAGGGCGCGUAGGCGGUUUGCAUAGUCAGACGUGAAAUUCCUGGGCUUAACCUGGGGGCUGCGUUUGAUACAUGCAGGCUUGAGUUCGGAAGAGGGUCGUGGAAUUCCCAGUGUAGAGGUGAAAUUCGUAGAUAUUGGGAAGAACACCGGUGGCGAAGGCGGCUCACUGGCUCAUUUCUGACGCUCAGGCGCGACAGCGUGGGGAGCAAACAGG
rnacentral:rRNA from 1 species